GCGCGAGUCGUACAGCGGCUAGUAUCCGAGCUUCCCAAGCUUGUGACCCGGGUUCGAAUCCCGGCUCGCGCA
rnacentral:tRNA from 1 species